GAUGAAGAACGCAGCGAAAUGCGAUAAGUAAUGUGAAUUGCAGAAUUCAGUGAAUCAUCGAAUCUUUGAACGCACAUUGCGCCCGCCAGUAUUCUGGCGGGCAUGCCUGUUCGAGCGUCAUUUCCACCAUCAGGCCCCCGGGCCUGUGUUGGGGACCUGCGGCUGCCCGCAGGCCCCGAAAUUCAGUGGCGGUCGCGCCGUAGCAACCGAGCGUAGUAACUAAAACGUCUCGCUCUGGCUCGCUGGGCGCGCUCCGGCCGUAAAACACCCCCCCUUUUCGCAAAGGUUGACCUCGGAUCAGGUAGGAAUACCCGCUGAACUUAAGCAUAUCAAUAAGCGGAGA
rnacentral:misc_RNA from 1 species